GACGGACGCUGGCGGCGUGCCUAAUACAUGCAAGUAGAACGCACAGUUUAUACCGUAGCUUGCUACACCAUAGACUGUGAGUUGCGAACGGGUGAGUAACGCGUAGGUAACCUGCCUGGUAGCGGGGGAUAACUAUUGGAAACGAUAGCUAAUACCGCAUAAUAUUGAUUAUUGCAUGAUAAUUGAUUGAAAGAUGCUAUUGCAUCACUACCAGAUGGACCUGCGUUGUAUUAGCUAGUAGGUGAGGUAACGGCUCACCUAGGCGACGAUACAUAGCCGACCUGAGAGGGUGAUCGGCCACACUGGGACUGAGACACGGCCCAGACUCCUACGGGAGGCAGCAGUAGGGAAUCUUCGGCAAUGGACGAAAGUCUGACCGAGCAACGCCGCGUGAGUGAAGAAGGUUUUCGGAUCGUAAAGCUCUGUUGUAAGAGAAGAACGGGUGUGAGAGUGGAAAGUUCACACUGUGACGGUAUCUUACCAGAAAGGGACGGCUAACUACGUG
rnacentral:rRNA from 1 species